rnacentral:rRNA from 1 species
AUUGAACGCUGGCGGCAGGCCUAACACAUGCAAGUCGAGCGAGCGGCGGACGGGUGAGUAAUGUAUGGGGACUGCCUGAUAGAGGGGGAUAACUACUGGAAACGGUAGCUAAUACCGCAUACCAUCAGAUUGCCCAUAUGGGAUUAGCUAGUAGGUGGGGUAACGUCUCACCUAGGCGACGAUCCCUAGCUGGUCUGAGAGGAUGAUCAGCCACACUGAGACGGAGACACGGCCCAGACUCCUAGGGAGGCAGCAGUGGGGAAUAUUGCACAAGGGGCGCAAGACUGAUGCAGCCAGGCCGCGGGGGUGAAGAAGGCCCUAGGGUUGUAAAGUACGUUCAGUCGGGAGGCGUUACCGGCAGAAGAAGCACCGGCUAACUCCGUGCCAGCAGCCGCGGUAAUAC